UGCAGUCGAACGGUGAAGCCAAGCUUGCUUGGUGGAUCAGUGGCGAACGGGUGAGUAACACGUGAGCAACCUGCCCUGGACUCUGGGAUAAGCGCUGGAAACGGCGUCUAAUACUGGAUAUGAGCUCCUUCCGCAUGGUGGGGGUUGGAAAGAUUUUUCGGUCUGGGAUGGGCUCGCGGCCUAUCAGCUUGUUGGUGAGGUAAUGGCUCACCAAGGCGUCGACGGGUAGCCGGCCUGAGAGGGUGACCGGCCACACUGGGACUGAGACACGGCCCAGACUCCUACGGGAGGCAGCAGUGGGGAAUAUUGCACAAUGGGCGGAAGCCUGAUGCAGCAACGCCGCGUGAGGGAUGACGGCCUUCGGGUUGUAAACCUCUUUUAGCAGGGAAGAAGCGAAAGUGACGGUACCUGCAGAAAAAGCGCCGGCUAACUACGUGCCAGCAGCCGCGGUAAUACGUAGGGCGCAAGCGUUAUCCGGAAUUAUUGGGCGUAAAGAGCUCGUAGGCGGUUUGUCGCGUCUGCUGUGAAAUCCCGAGGCUCAACCUCGGGCCUGCAGUGGGUACGGGCAGACUAGAGUGCGGUAGGGGAGAUUGGAAUUCCUGGUGUAGCGGUGGAAUGCGCAGAUAUCAGGAGGAACACCGAUGGCGAAGGCAGAUCUCUGGGCCGUAACUGACGCUGAGGAGCGAAAGGGUGGGGAGCAAACAGGCUUAGAUACCCUGGUAGUCCACCCCGUAAACGUUGGGAACUAGUUGUGGGGACCAUUCCACGGUUUCCGUGACGCAGCUAACGCAUUAAGUUCCCCGCCUGGGGAGUACGGCCGCAAGGCUAAAACUCAAAGGAAUUGACGGGGACCCGCACAAGCGGCGGAGCAUGCGGAUUAAUUCGAUGCAACGCGAAGAACCUUACCAAGGCUUGACAUAUACGAGAACGGGCCAGAAAUGGUCAACUCUUUGGACACUCGUAAACAGGUGGUGCAUGGUUGUCGUCAGCUCGUGUCGUGAGAUGUUGGGUUAAGUCCCGCAACGAGCGCAACCCUCGUUCUAUGUUGCCAGCACGUAAUGGUGGGAACUCAUGGGAUACUGCCGGGGUCAACUCGGAGGAAGGUGGGGAUGACGUCAAAUCAUCAUGCCCCUUAUGUCUUGGGCUUCACGCAUGCUACAAUGGCCGGUACAAAGGGCUGCAAUACCGUAAGGUGGAGCGAAUCCCAAAAAGCCGGUCCCAGUUCGGAUUGAGGUCUGCAACUCGACCUCAUGAAGUCGGAGUCGCUAGUAAUCGCAGAUCAGCAACGCUGCGGUGAAUACGUUCCCGGGUCUUGUACACACCGCCCGUCAAGUCAUGAAAGUCGGUAACACCUGAAGCCGGUGGCCCAA
rnacentral:rRNA from 1 species